rnacentral:lncRNA from 9 species
GAGAGAAAGAAGCCCACACCAAGGGUUGUCCCAGGCUCCCGGUGUGUUUGCUACUGCUUGCUGCACAGAGUUCCGACAGGGUCCUCCCUUAACAAGCAAAGAGGAAAAUCAUCUCUGUUGCGAUGCCAGUGUGACUCGGCAAAGUUGCAUCUAGCGUGCGCGUCUGUCCUGGCUGAGGGGGGCUGAGAGAGGCUUUGCUGCCCUUUUCCCCCUUGAAUACGAGUUUCUCGUGACUUUCCACCACCCUGAACUCACAAUGAUCCGUCAAGGACCUUCUCCUAUUUCCCUCCCAGCACCAUCCUAAUUUCCUCCCUUCAGUGGCUUCUCUCCUCUUCAUGAUCACUUUAUCCCUUCCUGGACCAGAGGAAAUAAUGAGAGACAGUGCCUCCUCCGCUGAAAAUCCACAGCCAGGCAUGGACCCCUCCCCACCACCUCCUACUAUGGUACUUAAAGACCUCACCAUGAAAAACUGGAUUGCAUAAAGGACUGCUCCUGGACAGAGACCCCUGGCUUGUUAUAUUUGCACAACUGGACAGUUUUCAUGGCAUAGAUUGGAUGGACUCUGUCAGUGACAGGAGGCAAUGUCCCUCCUGAAGGAGGGAAGGGAGUCUCUUCACUAGCAAAUACUCCAGUUUCUCAGCCAUUGGGGAAAAAAAAAAGAUCCUGUGAUUCCAACCAUGGAACUGCUACUCAAAACAACUACAAGAAAGAGGAAGUAGAGACCACGCGAGGUAUUUCCGUGUAAGACUGUUCCACCUUGAGAAAAGAAGCAAAAUGUGGAAAUGGGUCCUUCGCUGGAGAAUGGAUUAAAGAGUCUUUGGUCUCUUUCUGAAUUGUGCUACUUAAUUUAUCAUCACCACCAUCAUCAUCAUCUUUGUUGUCAUCAUCUCCAUCACCCGUGCUUCCUACAUGCCAGAAGUGUUGUGUUCCCUGGUUGAUCUCAUUUAAUUCUUCUGACAGCAAUAUGAGAGAUUUUGCAAUACUAAUGACAAAGAAAGCCUGGUGGAAUCACCUACUGGGAAGGCAGUGGUCCAGCUUUGGGUAAAUCUGAUUCAUUUACUCAGCAAAUAUUUAUGGAGCACUUACCAUGUGCUGUCAGGUUGUUGGGAUACAUCCGUUAACAAGAAGGAAGAAGAUUCCUGUCCUUAUUCUAGCAAAGAAAGCAGGAUUCAAAGCACUUCCUCUUAAGUAAUAGGCCUUGGCAGCUAUGCAGAGCAUUGCAGUGAGAAGCUGCUGUCUUGGGGGAGCUUUACUGCUUUUGGAGAUUUAAUACUGAUCUUGAACUUGAGGUGUGUCUGCAUGAACUUCUAUGCACCAGAAACUUUCAUUUCAAUGCUGAAAUGUGGGGUAAGAUUUUGGUGAAAUUUUAAACAAAUUUAGGGAACUACCUUAAGUAAAUUCAACCAGGUAUCACAUGCAGUCUUACUUUGGAAUUGUGAAAAAAAAAUAAUAAUAAGAGUGGAAAUAUGGAAAGAGAAUGCAAUAGCUACAACAGCAUAAACAUUGACUAUUAAGAAUCAAAAUAAUAUUCAUAAAAAAUAUUCAUUAAGUUAGGUGUCAACAUUUGUAAGAAAUGCACUGUUCCUGGCUUCGAGGUGGAAGAAGGCCGCCACAAGCUAAGGAAUGUGGGCCGCAUCUAGAAGCUGGAAAAGGCAAGAAAACAGUCUCCUCUAGAGCCUCUAGAAGGAAUACAGUCCUGGUGACACCUUGGUCUUGGCCCAGUGAGACCCAUAUCAGAUUUCUAACCUACAGAACUAUAAGAUAGUACAUUUAUGUUUUCUUAAGCCACUAGGUGUGUAAUCAUUUGUUACAACAGCCACAGGAAAGGAAUGCAUGUAUGGUUCUCUACAUUUUUGGUCUCUGCAGAGACAGGGUGGAUGGGGCCAGGAGACUAGCUCUGGCACUUAGAAUGGGGGAUGGGUGUGAUUUGCCCCCUACCUGGGCAAUGUGCCAUGACCUCUCUCUCUGGUGGUUGGACAGCUGAAUGCAGAGGGUCAGUAGAGGGUCAAGGAGGCUCUAGUGGAUGGCAGAGUCGCUGUUUGCAAGGAGCCUUGAAUCUGAAGUCACCACUUGAAAGAGUGUUGCCUCUGGGAGCUGCCCCAACCAAAUGCAUGAGUCUUAAUCCCCUGAGUUCCCAGAGUUCAUUUUUCCCUGCAGCAGAGCUGCUUCUAGUCUAACUCCAGAAUCUCCAAAUCAGAUUAUUUUUUCUUUUUAAAAAAUUUUUAAAGAGUUUUUUUUCUUUUUUUUUUUUUUAAGGGAUCAAACUUCUACAUGGGCAAAGUCAGAACUUUGUUGGGCUUCCUUAGCCUUAGUUUGUAAUUCAGUCUUUUUAAAACUUCACGUAGCACAUGGAGAGCAUUGUAAUCAAAUUUCUAUACUUAGGGCUUGUGACGGUCUUAAACCAGUGCUACUUUCUUGGCCACGGAGGCACCCACAGCCUCACAGUGCAGACAGACAGCUCAUUGGUCUCUUACAGGCUCUUCUGGCCUUUUCCUAAAUAUGCUCUCCAGUGCCAUAAAUUUCUACUUUGUCCAGAGAUUCCUUUUUCUUGGAAUAUGUACCCCACCCCUUCCUUUAAGCUCAGCUCAAUUCCAUCUCCUUCAAGAUGCCUUUCUAGAUUCUCCAAGGAAUAUGAAUUUCCUUCCUCCAUGAUUCCCUGUGUUCUUUCGUAAUACUUAUUAAUGGAUCCCUGUCCUCUCUACCCAAGUACACACACAGGCACAUCCUAAAAUGUAGCUUCUAGAAGGCAAAUAUCAUCCCAGGCUCACUGUGGUCCUUCACCAUAAGAUAGUGCUCUAGGGCAGUAAAUGCUCUGUGCAUUUGCAAAUUUUAGUAAAACCUCUGUGGCUGGUGGAAGAGUUUUGUUUUGUUUGUUUAAGCAGACAGGAUCACGUGGUGCCUUUUAUAUUAUCAUAUAGGACUGGUCCAUUUAUAUAGAGCAAGGGUCCCCCAAGAUUCCUUGUUCAUCAAAAUCUGAAUGACUAAACCAGGCACUGUGCUAAAGGGCCGGAGCACCACGUACCCUGUGGAACUAUCAAAUGUCACCCACUAGGACAGCUGCAAACCACAUAUAGAGUGUACCUACUACGUACCAGACUUUGGGCAGGUGAUCGACAUCAGCCUGAGCCUCUGGCCAGUCCUUCACUUUCUAGGACUUCUUCCCUUUCAGGGAAAUUUGGCCUCCCAGCAUCUGGGGAACAAGCUGCUUAUUUGCUAAUAUCUGUUUGCACAUCAGGGUUUUUUACUUUUAGGAACAGUUUGUCUCUCUGGCAGAUCUCCGUGUUCCCAUACCGUUGUUUAUGAUGUAACUAAGCAUCUAUCGUAUAGAAUUGAACUCAAUUCUCUUUUGAAACUGCAAGAGAUCUAACCCGCUCAUUUUCUUUCCAUUUAACAUACGAGAGGGGUGUGUAGGAGCAGUUUAUUAAGGGGGAGCUGUUUAUUGAAGGAUCCUGGGGCUAAUCCCAGCCCAUUAUUUCUCCAUUUCCUUACAGCUCACUGAGAAGGGUGGGAGAGAACAGGAACGGGGAGACUAUUCUUUCCUGAGUGAUUGUUUGGCCAAUCCACAGGGAUCCUGACUUUCCUACACCCAUCAGGGAAGUAGCAUCCAGAGGGUCAUUCCAGGGACAGGGCUGGCUGUGUCAGGCUGUAAUGAAUGGUUCAGACUGAGAGGUGGAACUUGGCCAACAACAGGGAAAGACAAUAAUCAUUGGAAAAUUUAGGCAUUGAGAAUAAGAUCCAUGUCUGUCUUAUGUCCCCUGGGUACCAACACAAUGACUUGGCUUAGUAACUGUCCCAUAAUGUUUAAAUUAUGUUCAGUGAAUGAGUGAAUGAAUGGAUGCCGUAUUCUUGCUUCCUUCUCCAAACACUCUUUAUAAAAUUACGGCAUCUCAUUCAUGUCUCCUCUAUAAAUCGGGAAUUUGGUGAGGCAUGCUGUUUAUUGCUUAGGAAUCAUUUUACUUAAUCACAAAGGUCCCAGGGGUUCAGGCGGAAAAAAAAAAAAAAAAAAAAAAAAAA